rnacentral:rRNA from 1 species
AGAGUUUGAUCAUGGCUCAGAACSAACGCUGGCSGCAGGCUUAACACMUGCMAGUCGAACGGGUGUAGCAAUACMUCAGUGGCAGACGGGUGAGUAACMCGUGGGAACCUUCCUAGGGGUACGGAACAACUCAGGGAAACUUGAGCUAAUACCGUAUACGUCCGUAAGGAGAAAGAUUUAUCGCCCUUAGACGGGCCCGCGUCGGAUUAGGUAGUUGGUGGGGUAACGGCCCMCCAAGCCYACSAUCCGUAGCUGAUCYGAGAGGAUGAUCAGCCMCACUGGGACUGAGACMCSGCCCMGACUCCUACSGGAGGCAGCAGUGGGGAAUCUUGGACAAUGGGCGCMAGCCUGAUCCMGCCAUGCCSCGUGAGUGAAGAAGGCCUUCGGGUUAUAAAGCUCUUUUGUCAGGGACGAUAAUGACGGUACCUGAAGAAUAAGCCC